UACGGAGGGUGCGAGCGUUGUUCGGAAUCACUGGGCGUAAAGGGCGUGUAGGCGGUCCGCUAAGUCUGAUGUGAAAGCCCGGGGCUCACCCCCGGAAGGGCAUUGGAAACUGACGGACUCGAGUCCCGAAGAGGAGGGUGGAAUUCCUGGCGUAGCGGUGAAAUGCGUAGAUAUCAGGAGGAACACCGGUGGCGAAGGCGGCCCUCUGGACGGUGACUGACGCUGAGACGCGAAAGCGUGGGGAGCAAACAGG
rnacentral:rRNA from 1 species